UACAGAGGUCCCGAGCGUUGUUCGGAUUCAUUGGGCGUAAAGGGUGCGUAGGCGGCGGGGCAAGUCUGAUGUGAAAUCCCGGGGCUCAACCUUGGGACUGCAUUGGAUACUGCCUUGCUAGAGUACUGGAGAGGAAACUGGAAUUUACGGUGUAGCAGUGAAAUGCGUAGAGAUCGUAAGGAAGACCAGUGGCGAAGGCGAGUUUCUGGACAGUUACUGACGCUGAGGCGCGAAAGCUAGGGUAGCAAACGGG
rnacentral:rRNA from 1 species